GACGAACGCUGGCGGCGUGCCUAAUACAUGCCAGUAGAACGCUGAAGGAAGGAGCUUGCUCUUUCUGGAUGAGUUGCGAACGGGUGAGUAACGCGUAGGUAACCUGCCUGGUAGCGGGGGAUAACUAUUGGAAACGAUAGCUAAUACCGCAUAAAAUUGAUUAUUGCAUGAUAGUCAAUUAAAAGGUGCAACUGCACCACUACCAGAUGGACCUGCGUUGUAUUAGCUAGUUGGUGGGGUAACGGCUCUCCAAGGCGACGAUACAUAGCCGACCUGAGAGGGAGGACGGCCGGUCUGGGACUGGCACACGGACCAGACACCCUCGGGAGGGAGCAAGAAGGAAAGUUCGUCAAAGGACGGGAGUCAGACCGAGCCACGGCGGCUGGGUGAAGAAGGUUUUCGGGUCGGUAAGCUCCGUUGUACGAGAAGGACGAAGGUGAGAGUGGAAUGUUCACGCUUUGACGGUAUCUUAACAGAAAGCGACGGCUAACUACGUG
rnacentral:rRNA from 1 species